rnacentral:rRNA from 1 species
UGGGGAAUAUUUCACAAUGGGGGAAACCCUGAUGCAGCGACGCCGCGUGAGCGAAGAAGGCCUUCGGGUCGUAAAGCUCUUUUAUGAGGGAAGAUAAUGACGGUACCUCAAGAAAAAGCCCCGGCUAACUACGUGCCAGCAGCCGCGGUAAUACGUAGGGGGCUAGCGUUGUCCGGAAUCACUGGGCGUAAAGGGUUCGCAGGCGGAAUAACAAGUCAGAUGUGAAAGGCAUGGGCUCAACCCAUGUAAGCAUUUGAAACUGUAAUUCUUGAGGAGUGGAGAGGUAAGUGGAAUUCCUAGUGUAGCGGUGAAAUGCGUAGAUAUUAGGAGGAAUACCUGUGGCGAAGGCGACUUACUGGACACAAAUCUGACGCUGAGGAACGAAAGCGUGGGUAGAAAACAGG